rnacentral:rRNA from 1 species
AAGGAAUAUUGGUCAAUGGAGGGAACUCUGAACCAGCCAUGCCGCGUGCAGGAUGAAAGCCCUCUGGGUUGUAAACUGCUUUUAACAGGGAAGAAAAUGCUAUACGCGAUAUAGUACUGACGGUACCUGAGGAAUAAGCACCGGCUAACUCCGUGCCAGCAGCCGCGGUAAUACGGAGGGUGCAAGCGUUAUCCGGAAUCACUGGGUUUAAAGGGUGCGUAGGCGGUUUUAUAAGUCAGUGGUAAAAGGUUGUAGCUCAACUAUAAGAGGUCCAUUGAUACUGUAAGACUUGAAUCGAGUUGAGGUUGGCGGAAUGAGACAUGUAGCGGUGAAAUGCUUAGAUAUGUCAUAGAACACCAAUUGCGAAGGCAGCUGACUAGACUUAGAUUGACGCUGAGGCACGAAAGUGUGGGUAGCGAAC